AGUAACACCUGGAAACAGAUGCUAAUACCGGAUAACAACAGAUGAUGCCUAUCAACUGUUUAAAAGAUGGUUCUGCUAUCACUCUUGGAUGGACCUGCGGUGCAUUAGCUAGUUGGUAGGGUAACGGCCUACCAAGGCGAUGAUGCAUAGCCGAGUUGAGAGACUGAUCGGCCACAUUGGGACUGAGACACGGCCCAAACUCCUACGGGAGGCAGCAGC
rnacentral:rRNA from 1 species